rnacentral:misc_RNA from 1 species
AACUACUGUCACAAGACUUCCAGCUGAGCCCUUCAUGUUUAUAGGAAAUACCUCAGACAUUAUAACCCAGGGGAUUCCUCCCAUGCCCAGUGCGAAUGAUCCUAUAUAUAUCAGUACACCAAUAAGUGCCAAAAAGGGAGAGAACUCCAUCCAUUUAUGAAGGUCCUGUAACAAAAAUGACAAUGCUACAAGAAAGCAACCCAAGCAUGUUCCAGCUGCAGAGAUCAUCAGAAGUGGCCUUCGCCCAGAUAU